rnacentral:rRNA from 1 species
AAAUGAAUAGACGGGGACUCACACAAGCGGUGGACCAUGUGGCUUAAUUCGACAACAAGCGAAGAACCUUACCAGGACUAGAAAUCCAGACGAAAUCCCGAAGAAACUCGGGACCCCGCAAGGCGGCUGGACAGGUGCUGCAUGGUUGUCGUCAGUUCGUGUCUUGAGACGUACCGUUAAUUCGGGUAACGAACGCAACCCUUGCCGUGUGUUUUAAAUGUCACACGGGACUGCCCGAGAUAAUUGGGAGGAAGGCGAGGAUGACGCCAAAUCAGCAUGGCCCUUGAUGUCCUGGGCUGCACACGUGGUACAAUGGCCGGCACAAUGCGGAUUCCAAGCCGAAAGGCGGAGAUUAAUCGCACCAAAACCGGUCUCAGUUCGGAUUGAGGGCUGAAAUUCGCCCUCAUGAAGCUGGAAUCGCUAGUAAUCGCCAAUCAGCUACGUGGCGAUGAAUACGUUCCUGAGUCUUGUACACACCGCCCGU